rnacentral:rRNA from 1 species
UGAACGCUGGCGGCGUGCCUCAUACAUGCAAGUCGAGCGAACAGACGAGGAGCUUGCUCCUCUGACGUUAGCGGCGGACGGGUGAGUAACACGUGGAUAACCUACCUAUAAGACUGGGAUAACUUCGGGAAACCGGAGCUAAUACCGGAUAAUAUAUUGAACCGCAUGGUUCAAUAGUGAAAGACGGUUUUGCUGUCACUUAUAGAUGGAUCCGCGCCGCAUUAGUUAGUUGGUAAGGUAACGGCUUACCAAGGCAACGAUGCGUAGCCGACCUGAGAGGGUGAUCGGCCACACUGGAACUGAGACACGGUCCAGACUCCUACGGGAGGCAGCAGUAGGGAAUCUUCCGCAAUGGGCGAAAGCCUGACGGAGCAACGCCGCGUGAGUGAUGAAGGUCUUCGGAUCGUAAAACUCUGUUAUUAGGGAAGAACAAAUGUGUAAGUAACUAUGCACGUCUUGACGGUACCUAAUCAGAAAGCCACGGCUAACUACGUG